AGCUCUUCCUCGUAGUGCCGCUGGGACCGUUGGCGACUGGUCUGGUCUUGUGGCUUUUGUAUUACUCAUUCCUUGGGCACUGCGAGCUAAAAGAGCAGAGCUCGCGGGCCAGUCAUCAUGUCGCGUUACGGGCGUUAUGGAGGAGAAACCAAGGUGUAUGUUGGUAAUCUGGGAACCGGUGCCGGCAAAGGAGAGUUAGAAAGGGCUUUCAGUUAUUAUGGUCCCUUAAGAACUGUGUGGAUUGCGAGAAAUCCUCCAGGAUUUGCCUUUGUGGAAUUUGAAGAUCCCAGAGAUGCAGAAGAUGCAGUGCGAGGCCUGGAUGGGAAGGUGAUUUGUGGUUCCCGAGUGAGAGUUGAAUUAUCAACAGGCAUGCCUCGGAGGUCUCGUUUUGAUAGACCACCAGCCCGCCGUCCCUUUGAUCCCAAUGAUAGAUGCUAUGAAUGUGGCGAAAAGGGACAUUAUGCUUAUGAUUGUCAUCGUUAUAGCCGGCGGAGGAGAAGCAGGUAUUUAUUUUAAUAAAGGAAUGGUUGGUAUACUAGUUAAUCAGUAAUUUUUUUAUUAGCAAGGCAGAAACUAGUAUUUUUCUAUAAACUUGAAUGUUAAUUGUACAGGUGUAUUUUACAGUUUUUGUUUAAUUAAACAAAUGCUAAUAUAUUAAUAAUCAACCUGGUCAAAACCUUUCAGGUUUCUUCGUUUGAGUCAGUCGCCUUGAUUCAGAAUGUCACGAGCCUUAUGAUAUCAUGCUGAGGCGCCUUGCAAAUCCGACAAUUAAGAUCCUCCUAGACCUUGAGGUGAUCAGCAUAAGAGGCCAGAUCCCCUCGAGUCAUCUACACCUAGCUUCACCUUAUUCUUUAAAGGGCAGAAAAUUUGAGACGGUGAUCGCCGUAACAGUAAAUUUGGCUUACAAUUGGGGCCCCCUCCGGUUUAGAAAGAGGAACACCAGAUUGACCACAUUCCCAACUAGAAAAAUCUUCUUGCGUCAAUCAAGCCUCACCUGGCUCAUUUGGCUGUCAGUUUGAUCGUCGUUAGAUUGAAGAAAACAUCUAGAUGCAGCGAUCGGCUAUAGAUACUUCUAGAUCGUCUAGAUCUACUAGACCAUGGGCCAAAGAGGGUCGACCUGCAAACUUGCAAGGUUUAUUUUAAAUACACAUUACAGUGUUUUAUAUUAUGUAAUUCUAAAAUGUAAUUCAGCUUUUAACAAAUCUUUUUUUAGGUAGUUAAAAAAAAAAAAACUAAUAGGCCCAGAGUUUAUUUCCAAAUGAGACACUAAAUUUAAAUAGUUUGAGAUUUGGUUUCAGCAGAGGCACACAAACUCUCAAAACGAGUUAUCAUCUGACAUUCUUUUUUUUCCUAACUUAAUAAAAUAGGUCACGGUCUAGAUCACAUUCGAGAUCCAGAGGUAGGCGAUACUCUCGCUCACGCAGCAGGAGCCGGGGAAGGAGGUCAAGAUCAGCAUCUCCACGAAGAUCAAGGUCUGUGUCUCUUCGGAGAUCAAGAUCAGCUUCACUCAGACGAUCUAGGUCUGGUUCUAUAAAAGGAUCGAGGUAUUUCCAAUCCCGGUCGAGGUCAAGAUCAAGAUCUAGGUCUCUUUCACGACCAAGAAGCAGCCGAUCAAAGUCCAGAUCUCCAUCUCCAAAAAGAAGUCGUUCCCCAUCAGGAAGUCCACGAAGAAGUGCAAGUCCUGAAAGAGUGGACUGAAGUUCUCAAGUUCACCUUUUAGGGAAAAAUUAUUUUGUUUACAUUAUUAUAAGGGAUUUGUGAUGUCUGUAAAGUGUAACCUAGGAAGGGUAUUUCAACCAUCUAAUCAAAAUGGAUCUGGAUUAUUACUCUGUAAAUUCACAGCAGUAAGAUAAUAUAAAUUUUUGUUGAAUGUAUUAACAUCCUAUGGUCUGAAAAUGUGGGUUUUUAUUUGGCACAUUUAAAUAAAAUGUUUCUAACUAGAUUUUUGAUUUGUGUUCAAUGUUAAUACUCAGUUUAAGAUCCAGGGGUAAACCUUGAUAUUAACUAUUCAUACAGAUCUAUAUUCAUUAAUGGUGUUAUUUGAGUUGUGAACAUCAUUAGCUGUAGUAUACAUACACUUGGGGAAUUCCUUUUUAUCCUUAGAGCUGUGGGUAAGAUAAGAACUCAAGUCCACUUAAUAGCUUAAGUGUAUCUGACAAGUCCCUAAAUAAUCUGUUGGAGUUGGUAUUACUAGAUAAUAGCAAGCUCUAAUGAUCUCAAUUUGUCAACCUAGAGGAUCACUGCUUCCAAAGGCUUGUUAGUACAGUAACUAAUUGAGGUUUUCAGGCUAUGAGAUGAGAUGGUGUCAAAUCAGAACUCCUGAUUUUAGUAAAUUCUACCCAAUGUUCUUUUGUUUUCAAUAUUAAUUUUAUACCACCACUUUUGCAUGUUGGAAGAAUUGUCUGAAUUUGGGACAAAACAUCAUGUAAACCAGCUUUGCAAAAUUUUCCAGCCCAGAUACUCUCUCUUGAAAUGGAUUGCCUUAUUCCGAGAAGAGAUUAUUCCCAUCCUAGGUUUUUUGGUUCCUGACUACCAACAUUUUAUUUUGCCAGGCUGGUGCAAAGUAAUUAUAAAGAUGUCAAUCAGAAAUGUUAAUGAGACGAAAGCAGUUUUGUAAAUCUGCGUUUAGCGACACCUCAUGUAGUUGUUUUGGUAGCAUCUGGUAGAUCUUAGAAUAUAGCUGGUAGAUUCUUUGUUCAGACUUUAUCCUUAGUAGGACAGUAAUAGUUAAUUUUGAGUUUUCUGGUCAAGCUUUUACCAGGCAUUCUUUAGCAUCAGUUCAAAAAGGGAAUACUGGUCUGCAUCAAAUUUAUUUGGUCUGAAUGAUCACUAGUGCGUUGGAAGAUUGGAUAUUUUCUUUUCAGAAUUUUGACAACUGGCUGAAUUAUAAUGGUGUAAAGCUAUGUGUGUAAAUGGGAGGCUUAUUUGUUGCACUUGGUCAGCUUUAAUUGUUCUGUAUUACAUAAAGAUAAGUUCACUUAAUAAAUCUGCAGAGAACAAACAACCCUGAUACUCAAUUUUUGGAAGUGGGAGUGCUGAGCCAAGAGUAGGAAUCAUUAAUCCUGUAGCUUUGGGAUGAUUACUAAGCAGUAACCUAGAGAUUAGUACAGAAGGCUAAAAGAUAGGAGGAAGGGGUAGGGGCAAAAAUGGGUCUAGGAAACAAGUACAGGAAGUUCAACCUUUAAUGGGAAAGGGAGUGCUAGGUAUCUAGGUCAGUGCCUUGCACAUGCUUGACAGCAGGUACCUUUGUGGUUAGUAUACAUCUUAACGUGAUACAUUUUGAUGCAGUGUGCUCUUUUUGUUUGCAUUUUCAGGUGUCGGGAAUGCUAAACUGAUGUGACUGACUUGAUAAGUACUAGGCUAGGCUUAUUCCUAAAAUACCUGGCACUACUUGGUGACUAAUUGAACACAUCAGACACUGAGUACUUUGGACAUAGAAUCUUUUAGUCCUCUUGCUUACAGAGAGGUGUUGAGAGGUAGGUAAUGCAUACCCUCGAUUGCACCUGAUUUCACAGUGGUAGUUUUCCUUUGGACUUGGAGCUAGGCUAAGCAUAAAGUGAAAGUGUGGUCCUGCCACCUUGCCAUAUCCUGUCUUGAGGACGGUGAAAAAUCUGAGGGAAUUUUGAAAUGCCAUCACUUUGAGACUUGGUGAAAUGGAUGGUGGUGUAGGAUUGUGAUUGUCCUCUUUGUGUAGCCUAUCUUGAAGUCUAAAGGAGGAUGGUGAUUUCCAAGGUAUGUGUAAAAGGAAGUGUAAGCUCUAAAACUGACAGGUUGGCAAAGAGUAAUCAGAGUGAAGAGUAAUAGCAAAGAAUCAGAUCUGGCUCUUAGCAACUGUUUGGAGACCUUUGGAAGGGAGGGUACAACGUAGUGGAUGUAUAAGUAAUUGUAUAGCUGGAAAGACCUGAAGUAAAGGUCAAAGUAACAUACCAGGGGCCUGGCUGGUCUUGUAGUGUUUGGAGGGCGGUGAGAACUGGUGACAAACCAAAGACAUGGAGUGAAGAUGCUUAGGUUUCUGGUAAGCGGUAGUAUUAAAGCUAUUAUAUCCAGAACGAUCUUGAGGGUGGCAGGGAAACACCAGCAGGCAGUUUUAAAGCCUGAUAGGUUUUUUCCCCCCACACCUUACAUACAGGUUUCCUGUUAACAUUCUAGUAAAGAUGUCGAAGGACAUUUUGUGAGAUCCACACAGCAAUAUAGUGCUGGUAACCCCAUCUCACAGAGGAGGAAAUGGGUUCAGUGAGAUUGUUAAUACCGUUUACUAGUCUCCUAUUAGAAGAAAGGAAAUGUUUGAAUCUUAAUGUGUUGUUUCAAAGCCCUUGGUUUUCUUAUCAACAAGGCACCUUAUUGCUUUUUUAAAAAAAACCUUAUGGGAAAAUCAGAAAAUACAACCCAUGAUUCUACUCAUUGUCGACUUGCUGAUAACUUGGCUAUUUUCUUUCCAGACCGCAUGAGGCAAAGAUGCCGGAUAGAAGGAUAACUGGAACGUGUGGAAUGCAGUAGCCAAUUAAUUGUUGAAGCACUCUAGGCUGCUUCUUGAAUCUAGUGCUGUUUUCUUUUUCCCACAGGCCACUGGCCCAACUUACUUUCCAUUUUAUUUCAUUUUUUGACUUGGUAAUAUAUUCAAGGUGUAUAUAGUGAGAAGGCACCCUAACCCUGACUCAGCUGCCCAGUUACCUCCCCAAAGGCAACCAUUGUUACCAAUUAAUAUAGCCUGAGCAAAUAUGGACAGAUUUUCUCCAUUUCCCUUUUAACACAAAAUAGAUGCACCUUGUUUUCCCUCGUUUAACAUUUUGGAGUUCUUCCAUUAUACGUAAAAAUGGCACUCUUUUUAUGUUGCAUACUAUUUAGUGCCUGGAUGUUGCAUAAUUGACACAGAUAACUUGUGUGCCCCUUCAAUGUGCCAGGUACUAUUAGCCAUGGAAAACAGAUGAACAAAGUCUUUAUCUUCUGGAGCUUAAGUUCUGGAGAGACAAAUGAACAAACAGGUGGGUAAUAACUGAUUCGGACAACAACGAGGCGGGGAUAGAAAGGGGCAAUUGGUUGGUGUUGGGUAAAGGAUGUCUAAGGGAGGCCUCUGAUAGUAACGUUUUUGCAUGUGAGGGAGUAAGGCACGUCAGCUUGUGGAGAUAGAGUGUUCUAGGCAGAGGGCAUAGUAAGUGCAGAAACUCUGAAGUGGUUUGUGUUGGGUAAGGAUGCCAGCAUGGAGUGAACACUGGGAGAGAACAGGAAGAGAUGGCAGAGGAAGGGAGAGCGGUGUAGGAUAUAGAUUAUAUAGGACCUGUGUACCUUGGAGAGGACUUGCUGCUUUUCCAGUGAGUUUUUCAGCAAAGUAGCAGGAAUUAGUUUCCUCUUUAGUGGAUGUGAGGGUUUCUGAUUACAGUAAUAAUGCUGUAGUGAAUAGUACAAUACAUUGCAUGUGUGACUGUAUGUAUUGGAUAGACCCUAGAAGCUAAAUUGCUGGGUCAAAGGAUGUGUGUGUGUGUACACGUGUGUAUGUACGUGUGUGUGUGUGUGUGUGUGUGUGUGUGUGUGUGCGCGCGCGCGCACAUGCGGGGGGCGGCCAGGCCGCAGAGCCAGUUGUCAGAUUCCGGAGGAGCUGAGAUUCUUUCUCAGGAAGAGCUCAUGCUCU